rnacentral:rRNA from 1 species
GAUGAACGCUGGCGGCGUGCCUAACACAUGCAAGUCGAACGAUGAAACCGCCCUCGGGCGGACAUGAAGUGGCGAACGGGUGAGUAACACGUGACCGACCUGCCCCCCGCCCAGGGACAGCCCCCCGAAAGGGGGAUUAAUACCUGGUACUCCGGAAGCGGCGCAUGCCGCCCCCGGGAAAGCUCCUCGCGGCGGGGGAUGGGGUCGCGGCCCAUCAGGUAGACGGCGGGGCGACGGCCCACCGUGCCGACGACGGGUAGCCGGGUUGAGAGACCGACCGGCCACAUUGGGACUGAGAUACGGCCCAGACUCCUACGGGAGGCAGCAGUGGGGAAUUUUGCGCAAUGGGGGCAACCCUGACGCAGCAACGCCGCGUGCGGGACGAAGGCGUCCGCGUCGUAAACCGCUUUCAGCGGGGAACACCAAUCGAGGGUACCCGCAGAAGAAGCCCCGGCUAAAUACGUGCCAGCAGCCGCGGUAAUACGUAUGGGGCGAGCGUUAUCCGGAUUCAUUGGGCGUAAAGCGCGCGUAGGCGGAGCGCUAAGCGGGACCUCUAACCCGAGGGCUCAACCCUCGGCCGGGUCCCGAACUGGCGCUCUCGAGUGCGGUAGGGGAGAGCGGAAUUCCCGGUGUAGCGGUGGAAUGCGCAGAUAUCGGGAAGAACACCGACGGCGAAGGCAGCUCUCUGGGCCGAAACUGACGCUGAGGCGCGAAAGCUGGGGGAGCGAACAGGAUUAGAUACCCUGGUAGUCCCAGCCGUAA